rnacentral:sRNA from 1 species
GUCAGGUUGCAGUUUCACUUUUAGGUCUGGGCACCUCCAGCUCCUGCUCGCCGGACGGCUCCCAGGGAGAGCAGACGCGCCACCCUCGGGGCGCCGACGGUCACGGAGCAUGGGGUCGGCCUUUGAGCGGGUAGUCCGGAGAGUGGUCCAGGAGCUGGACCAUGGUGGGGAGCUCAUCCCUGUGACCAGCCUGCAGAGCUCCACUGGAUUCCAGCCCUACUGCCUGGUGGUCAGGAAGCCCUCAAGCUCAUGGUUCUGGAAACCCCGUUAUAAGUGUGUCAACCUGUCAAUCAAGGACAUCCUGGAGCCGGAUGCCCCGGAACCAGGUGCCUGAUGUGGUGCUGAGGCAGAGCCCCAAGGAGGCUGGAUGGGAGAGAGGAGCGGGCUGGGUCCAGCCAGCCACCCACCGGGCUCUGCAGGCUCUAGCUCUGGGCCUCUCUUCCAGAGGCCAGCGCCUUUCCAAAGGUCCCUCUGCCAUGGGGCUGGGACAGGGCUGGUGGGGGCGGGGGAGAGGCGGGGCGGUGGGCACAGCCUCAGGUCUGGCCUUGCUUUAGAUUUGCAGCGUGGCAGGAGCUUCCACUUCUACGAUGCCAUGGAUGGGCAGCUACAGGGCAGCGUGGAGCUGGCAGCCCCAGGACAGGCAAAGAUUGCAGGCGGGGCCGCGGUGUCUGACAGCUCCAGCACCUCAAUGAAUGUGUACUCGCUGAGUGUGGACCCUAACACCUGGCAGACUCUGCUCCAUGACAGGCACCUGCGGCAGCCAGAGCACAAAAUCCUGCAGCAGCUGCGGAGCCGCGGGGACAACGUGUAUGUGGUGACCGAGGUGUUGCAGACACAGAAGGACGUGGAAGUCACGCGGACCCACAAGCGGGAGGGCUCGGGCCAGUUUUCCCUGCUCGGAACCAUGUGCUUGCAGGGUGAGGGCCAGGGCCACCUGAGCCAGAAGAAGACGGUCACCAUCCCCUCGGGCAGCAUCCUCGCAUUCCGGGUGGCCCAGCUGGUUAUUAACUCUGACUUGGGUGAGCUGGAGUUGGGGGUGUCUCGGGCCCAGGCCCUGGCAGAGAAGCAGGGAGGCCUGGGGAGAGCUACCCACCAGCUUGGGCUGCCGUGGGCCCCUGGCUGAACAACGUCCUGUGUCUGGCAGGUGGCUGAGGUCCUGUGCUCUGGUGUGUGGGUGAUUGGGCAGGGCCUGAGCUGGAUAGGGGAGCUCCUAGUAGGGGAGGGGAUGCUGGGAUCUAGGUGACAUGCCUGUCCCUGUCUGCUCCCACCUGGCUGCCAGACGUCCUUCUCUUCCCGGAUAAGAAGCAGAGGACCUUCCAGCCACCCCCGACUGGCCACAAGCGUUCCACGAGCGAAGGCGCCUGGCCACAGCCGCCCUCUGGCAUCUCCAUGAUGGGGUGCCUCCACAACUUCCUGACAGAUGGGGUCCUUGUGGAGGGUGCGUUCACUGAAGACUUCCAGGGCCUGUGGGCAGAGGUGGAGACCAUCUCCAAGGAACUGGAGCUCUUGGACAGAGAGCUGUGCCAGCUGCUGCUGAGGGGCCUGGAGGGGGUGCUGCGGGACCAGCUGGCCCUGCGAGCCUUGGAGGAGGCGGUGAGUGGGGGAGGGUGCCCGGGGCACACAAGGCCGGCCCAGCCAGCCAGGCUCAUCUGCCCUUCCCGUGCCCACAGCUGGAGCAGGGCCAGAGCCUUGGGCCGGUGGAGCCCCUGGACGGUCCAGCAGGUGCUGUCCUGGAGUGCCUGGUGUUCCCCUCCAGAAUGCUGGUGCCGGAACUCGCCAUCCCUGUUGUCUACCUGCUGGGGGCACUGACCAUGCUGAGUGAAACGCAGCACAAGCUGCUGGCGGAGGCGCUGGAGUCGCGGUCCCUGUUGGGGCCGCUCGAGCUGGUGGGCAGCCUCUUGGAGCAGAGUGCCCCGUGGCAGGAGCACAGCACCAUGUCCCUGCCCCCCGGGCUCCUGGGGAGCAGCUGGGGCGAAGGGGCACCGGCCUGGGUCUUGCUGGACGAGUGUGGCCUGGAGCUGGGGGAGGACACUCCCCACGUGUGCUGGGAGCCGCAGGCCCAGGGCCGCAUGUGUGCACUCUACGCCUCCCUGGCACUGCUAUCAGGACUGAGCCAGGAGCCCCACUAGCCUGUGCCCGGGCAUGGCCUGGCAGCUCUCCAGCAGGGCAGAGUGUUUGCCCACCAGCUGCUAGCCCGAGGAAGGCCAGGAGCCCAGUAGCCAUGUGGCCUGUCUACCAUGGGGCCCAGGAGUUGGGGAAACACAAUAAAGGUGGCAUACG